rfam:Flavobacteria bacterium MS024-2A ctg71, whole genome shotgun sequence.
UAUAUUUGCCGUUCGUUAAAAAAACGAAUUACAUAAUAAUCAUUAAAAUUAAUAUUGGCAUG